CCAAUAGAUUAGAGAUAGUAUUUAGAUUAUAUUAGAAAUUUUAUUUCUAAAUUUAAGUGUCAAAAUAGUAAUCAUUUUUAAUAUUCUUUUAGUGAUGCCACUUUAAAAGCAAGAGGAUGCCGUUUUGGAAGUUCUGAAAUUUACAAUGUUGUAAACAAAUUUCCCGAGGUCUACGACAGUCUUUGUGUUUCCCAGUUCAGCAAGAAUUUAGUCGAAAGGGCUGUGCUUUUUGUAAAGAUGAAAGACGGCUAUAUAUUCAGUGACGAAAUAGUCAACAAAAUUCGAGUUGCAAUUGGGAACGAGUUGACGGUUCGCCACAUUCCCGAAAUUAUUUUAGAAACAAAGGAUAUACCUUGCAAUAUAAAUGGAAAGAAAGUGGAAAUUAUUGUCAAGAGAAUCAUCAACAAUAUGCCUUAUGAUCCAGAAAGUGUCAUCAAUCCACAGUGUUUGCAAAGCUUUUGUAAUAUUCCAGAAUUGCAAGGUUUUGAUGAGUAAAGACCACAUAAAUUGAAACUCUGCGAAUAGGUGAAAAAUAAAUAAAGAAGGAGCAUUUUCGAAAGAGAAUAUUUCUUUUUACUUUUCUAUUUCAUUAAUUUGCAUCAAAUAUGGAAAUUUAUGUAUUUAUGAACUUUCUUUGUAUAACAUGAACUCUGUUCUCUGAAUGUAGUCUGGAGUUCCGAAUUAAAAGCAUUAUGUUUGGAAACAAAAA